GACAGAGGGUGCUAGCGUUGUUCGGAAUUACUGGGCGUAAAGGGCGCGUAGGCGGCUCGUUUAGUCGGGUGUGAAAUCCCAAGGCUCAACCUUGGAACUGCAUUCGAUACUGGCGGGCUAGAGACCGGAAGAGGUGGGUGGAAUACCCAGUGUAGAGGUGAAAUUCGUAGAUAUUGGGUGGAACACCGGUGGCGAAGGCGGCCUUCUGGACAGUGACUGACGCUGAGACGCGAAAGCGUGGGGAGCAAACAGG
rnacentral:rRNA from 1 species